rnacentral:rRNA from 1 species
GAUCCUGGCUCAGGACGAACGCUGGCGGCGUGCUUAACACAUGCAAGUCGAGCGAGGAGCUUGCUCCUAGCGGCGAACGGGUGAGUAACACGUGGGCAACCUGCCCCAAGCUCUGGAAUAACUCCGGGAAACCAGGGCUAAUGCCGGAUAUGACAUCGCUGGGCAUCUGGUGGUGUGGAAAGAUUUAUCGGCUUGGGAUGGGCCCGCGGCCUAUCAGCUUGUUGGUGGGGUGAUGGCCUACCAAGGCGACGACGGGUAGCCGGCCUGAGAGGGCGAUCGGCCACACUGGGACUGAGACACGGCCCAGACUCCUACGGGAGGCAGCAGUGGGGAAUAUUGCGCAAUGGGCGAAAGCCUGACGCAGCGACGCCGCGUGAGGGAUGACGGCCUUCGGGUUGUAAACCUCUUUCAGCAGGGACGAAGCGAGAGUGACGGUACCUGCAGAAGAAGCACCGGCCAACUACGUGCCAGCAGCCGCGGUAAUACGUAGGGUGCAAGCGUUGUCCGGAAUUAUUGGGCGUAAAGAGCUCGUAGGCGGCUUGUCACGUCGGCUGUGAAAACCCGGGGCUCAACCCCGGGCCUGCAGUCGAUACGGGCAGGCUAGAGUCCGGUAGGGGAGACUGGAAUUCCUGGUGUAGCGGUGAAAUGCGCAGAUAUCAGGAGGAACACCGGUGGCGAAGGCGGGUCUCUGGGCCGGAACUGACGCUAAGGAGCGAAAGCGUGGGGAGCGAACAGGAUUAGAUACCCUGGUAGUCCACGCCGUAAACGUUGGGCGCUAGGUGUGGGGGACCUUCCACGGCCUCCGUGCCGCAGCUAACGCAUUAAGCGCCCCGCCUGGGGAGUACGGCCGCAAGGCUAAAACUCAAAUGAAUUGACGG